rnacentral:rRNA from 1 species
UGGGGAAUCUUGGACAAUGGGGGCAACCCUGAUCCAGCCAUGCCGCGUGAGUGAUGAAGGCCUUAGGGUCGUAAAGCUCUUUCGCCUGUGAAGAUAAUGACGGUAGCAGGUAAAGAAACCCCGGCUAACUCCGUGCCAGCAGCCGCGGUAAUACGGAGGGGGUUAGCGUUGUUCGGAAAUUACUGGGCGUAAAGCGCACGUAGGCGGACCAGAAAGUUGGGGGUGAAAUCCCGGGGGCUCAACCCCGGAACUGCCUCCAAAACUAUUGGUCUAGAGUUCGAGAGAGGUGAGUGGAAUUCCAAGUGUAGAGGUGAAAUUCGUAGAUAUUUGGAGGAACACCAGUGGCGAAGGCGGCUCACUGGCUCGAUACUGACGCUGAGGUGCGAAAGUGUGGGGAGCAAAACAGGAUUAGAUACCCUGGUAGUCCACACCGUAAAACGAUGAAUGCCAGUCGUCGGGUAGCAUGCUAUUCGGUGACACACCUAACGGAUUAAGCAUUCCGCCUGGGGAGUACGGUCGCAAGAUUAAAACUCAAAGG